ACGCUUAACAGUAGAAUAGCAACAUUACUUUGGUUCCGGAAAAUCAACCAUGGAAGACAUCUCUGCUUCAUGUUUUCGUGUUCUGGAUGAGAUGUUGUCCUCGGGCAAAAUUACCCAGGCUACACUCACAAAGGUGAAAAACGGCUUCGAGCGACUAAAGGAUACGUUAAAGAGUGCGCAGAGUUCUGAGAUGCAGCUUUUGGGAGAGGCAAAGAGACGUCAGGCUGAGCUGGAGCGGCUCCAGGUAGAAGUACAGAGCCCGGAAGAGCAGCGGGGCCCCCCUGAGGAGCCCGACGGUGAGGUCAGCAAACUGAGACGACAGCUCCUGCAGGCGCACAAUGAACUGCGAGCUGCUGAGGACAGAGAGCACGCAGCACGGCACGGGUUGCAGCGUCUCCGGGAAGAGAAGCGGCAUCUGGAGAGAGAAAUUCAAACACAGCCUGCUGAGCUGGAAAGCAACACAAACAUGUUGAAGGACAAACACGAUGCUCUGAAGAAAGAAGUGGCCCAGAGACAACUGGAUGUCAGAACUCUGAUGGAGGAUUUGGAAACACUUGAAACGCUGCUAUUAAAAGAACAAAAAGAGCUGGAAGAAAAGAUGGAGAUCAUUGAAAUCAAAGAGGCUGAGAAAGCCCAGCUUGCCUGCAUACUGAACCGGAUAAUACAGGAAACCGAAAGAAAGCGCUCUUUAUGGGAAGUGGCAAUGAAGAAGAUGGACUCCCUGAAUACGGAGCUUUCGGAAGCGAAGCAUCAGAUGAGGUGUGUGAAUGAGGGUAAUCGGUUCCUGGAGGUGACGAGGGGGGAGGCGAUGCAGGAGCUGGAGCGGCUCAGGGCCCGGAUGGAGGCAUGUCAGAGGGAGAACAGACAGCUACUGAAGAAGCAGGAGAUCUGCAGGGAGGAGUCGUCUGAAAUCAUGGGCAACAGGGGUAUUUUGGAAAUGAAGCUGCUCAACCUCAUGACUGAUAGGAAGCAGCUCUACGAGAGCCGAUCUUUGCAGCUCCAAAAGAAAAAUAAGCAGGUGGAGGCCCUCAGAAGGAUGGAGCAUGCCAUAUCCAUGGCCACUGAGCGGCUAGCACACACGCAAUCCGACUACAAGAACAUACAGUCGCAACUGCUGGAUGUCGUUCCCGAACGAGAGGCCAGCGCUCGGCAAAGGAUGGAGCUGCAGAAGGAGAUUGAUGCGCUCGAAGCCGGCUUUGAAAAGCAGGUUUCUAUGGCUGAAGAAAACCAGAAGAAGCAUCAGAACGGGGUGAUUCAAGAGCUGCUUAGGGAGUCAAAUCACCUCAGAGAAGAACUCCAUAACCUCGGAUGUCUAACGCAGAUCAAAGCGGAGGAGCGGAGCAAGAAGAACCGGGAACGUCUCAAGGCAGAGCAACUGAGCGAGCGCUUCCAGCAGGAGCUCAGAGAGAGAGAGCUGAUCAUCAUGGACCACAACAAGCUCAACGUGGUGCUUCAGCGCAGAAUAUCACAGUACUCAAAACUGUGUGACAAGUUCCUGGAAGAGAAGAAUAAGUAUGCGCGGCUGAAGCAGAUUGCCUCACAGACUAUCUCCGAAUUGACGGAGCAACUUAACAUCCUUGAAAACGAGAUGAAAAUCCAGCGCUCUAUUGCUGACAGCAAGGACAGAUUACUGACAAAGACUCGCAUGAAGGUCUCCAGCAGCUCCAAAAUGAGGGAGAAACUGCGUAAUGAGAUCUCUAAGUUCACAUGGAAACGACACCAAAUCCGUCAGCAGCAUGAGGACAACAAACUGGAGUUAAUGAAUCUCACCCAAAUGAUCAAGUUCCACGAGGGGAUUCUUCUGGACGUAAAGAGAAGUCAUGAAAACGCCAUCCAAAGACGCAAUUUUCUGGGGUUACGGCUCUUGGAGCAGGACGGAGUUUUGUCAAACUUUUACGACCAUGUGAAGAACCUGGAGGCAGCCGUCGCCAAAAGCUACAGAGCAACCGAGACGGCGGAGAAGGACGCGAGAGAACUGCAGAUUGAGAUUAAUGAGGAGAAGAGGCAAGUAGACCUGAAGAAGAGGAAGGUGUUACUCAAGAGGAAACAGGAGGAGGAGAUCAUCACACUGCAAAUCAAGCUGUCGAAAGCAAGAGACGCGACCCUGAAAAGCGUGACUCGUACCCUUGAAUGCCGGGAGUUAAAGGGCGACGACCCACCGGCUCCAGAACUCGUCAAGAAAAUGGAGCAGCUGGAGGCGAACUUGGCCGAGCGCGAGCGUCAGCUGCUGGAGAAAGAACUCCAGGUGGAGCGGGUGACCUGGAUGUCGGAGCCGCUGGGGGAGCAGGCGGAGAGCUGCAGGCUCCACAGCCUCUCCGUGGCAAAGAAGCUGAAUGAGGCCCGGGCCAAAAUCUUCAACAUCAACCUCUGUUUGAUGGCCGUUUCCGCAGAAGUGUCCAUGAAGCAGGCGAUCGCUUUGUCUGAACACCGACGGAUGAAAGAGAGAGAGCUGCAGCUGUCAGAAGCCAGAGACAAGAUGCUGAAAAACCCCGUUGAGUCCAUCGAGUCGGAGGACGAGGCCUCGCCAACUUCAGAACUCGACAAUAACAUGGAGCAGCUGUCAGAAUCCAGAGACACGAGGCCAGAAAGCAUCAAUGAGUCCAACGAUUCAGAGGACGAGGCCUCGUCACCUUCAGAACUUCACAGAGAAAUGGAGGAGCUGCCUGAGCGUGAGAGUCAGCAGCAGCCGGAAGAAGAAGGAGCGGAGCAGGAGACCGGUCUGUCAAAGCCGCUGGUGGAGCAGACGGAGGUCUCCAGACUCGACGGAUUCGGCGACCUCUCCGAGUCAUGGAAGCUGCCAAAAGUGCCGUGGUAUUUUGACCCAGAGGAGACCUUUAGGAGGGCGGAGCGAGACAGGAGACUGAGGCAGAGAGCAAAAGAAGAGAAAAAGAGGAACAUGCCACUUGGAUUCCAGAUUUAUUCAAAACAUGGUGCUGUAUCACAACUAGAAUCUCCCUGCUUUUGGAAAAGUGCAAUUAUGUCUUUUUCAAGUGAAUCCAGGAUGUUGAAUCUUCUGUGGCCUUAACAAAAAAACAAAAAAGGGUCCUGCAUUAAGGUUGACGUAUCGCAGCUGCAUUCGAGCUACGAGAGAGGGACAGAAAGCUGGAAGAGAGUGAGGAGAGGAAAAGUACCUUAUUCCCCGCUGUUAUCUACCGGAUUUCAUCAAAUCUAGGACGAGGUUAAAAACUACCACGAGCUUCUAGACAUCAGUCUUCUGAGGUCUGCGAGUUCGGAACAUAUUUCUUAACAGAGCUCCAGUGGGAGGCAGACCUACUUCUUUGUGUUCUCCAAGUGAUUCACAUGGCUGGAGGCUUUGCUCUCGGACCGCUGAAACAACAACAACACCACCACCAUCAUCAUCAUCAUCAUGGGAGGGAUGAAAGUACACUCACACUGUUGGACUAUACCCACAGCUCUGCCCAGAAACCUUGGAGCCGCGCGGCCUGCGCAGCGGUACGCGGAAACAAACAAGCAAGGACAAACCAGAGUUGGCGAAGGACAAGGACCGCAUGCAGCUCUUGAGGAAAACACCAAGGUUUUGUCUACAGCGCAAAUAUGAAACACGAAAAUAUGCAAACAAAUAUCCUGCUACUGAGACAAUAACAUAUUGAUUCUAACAGGAAUUAAUUACCUGCA